UACGUAUGGUGCAAGCGUUGUCCGGAUUUAUUGGGCGUAAAGCGAGUGCAGGCGGUUCAAUAAGUCUGAUGUGAAAGCCUUCGGCUCAACCGGAGAAUUGCAUCAGAAACUGUUGAACUUGAGUGCAGAAGAGGAGAGUGGAACUCCAUGUGUAGCGGUGGAAUGCGUAGAUAUAUGGAAGAACACCAGUGGCGAAGGCGGCUCUCUGGUCUGCAACUGACGCUGAGGCUCGAAAGCAUGGGUAGCGAACAGG
rnacentral:rRNA from 1 species